AACGAACGCUGGCGGCAGGCUUAACACAUGCAAGUCGAACGCAUCCUUCGGGGUGAGUGGCAGACGGGUGAGUAACGCGUGGGAACGUGCCCUUCAGUUCGGAAUAACCCAGGGAAACUUGGGCCAAUACCGGAUACGUGCGAGAGCAGAAAGAUUUAUCGCUGAAGGAGUGGCCCGCGUCUGAUUAGCUAGUUGGUGAGGUAAAGGCUCACCAAGGCGACGAUCAGUAGCUGGUCUGAGAGGAUGAUCAGCCACACUGGGACUGAGACACGGCCCAGACUCCUACGGGAGGCAGCAGUGGGGAAUAUUGGACAAUGGGCGCAAGCCUGAUCCAGCCAUGCCGCGUGAGUGAUGAAGGCCUUAGGGUUGUAAAGCUCUUUCGGCGGGGACGAUAAUGACGGUACCCGCAGAAGAAGCCCCGGCUAACUUCGUGCCAGCAGCCGCGGUAA
rnacentral:rRNA from 1 species